rnacentral:rRNA from 1 species
CGACCGGCGCACGGGUGAGUAACACGUAUGCAACCUGCCUGAUACCGGGGUAUAGCCCAUGGAAACGUGGAUUAACACCCCAUAGUACUUUUAUCCUGCAUGGGAUGUGAGUUAAAUGUUCAAGGUAUCGGAUGGGCAUGCGUCCUAUUAGUUAGUUGGCGGGGUAACAGCCCACCAAGACGAUGAUAGGUAGGGGUUCUGAGAGGAAGGUCCCCCACAUUGGAACUGAGACACGGUCCAA